AGUGAACGCUGGCGGCAGGCUUAACACAUGCAAGUCGAACGGGUGCAGCAAUGCAUCAGUGGCAGACGGGUGAGUAACACGUGUGAACCUUCCUAGGGGUACGGAACAACUCAGGGAAACUUGAGCUAAUACCGUAUGUGUCCGAGAGGAGAAAGAUUUAUCGCCCUUAGACGGGCCCGCGUCGGAUUAGCUAGUUGGUGGGGUAACGGCCUACCAAGGCGACGAUCCGUAGCUGAUCUUAGAGGAUGAUCAGCCACACUGGGACUGAGACACGGCCCAGACUCCUACGGGAGGCAGCAGUGGGGAAUCUUGGACAAUGGGCGCAAGCCUGAUCCAGCCAUGCCGCGUGAGUGAAGAAGGUCUUCGGAUUGUAAAGCUCUUUUGCCAGGGACGAUAAUGACGGUACCUGGAGAAUAAGCCCCGGCAAACUUCGUGCCAGCCGCCGCGGUAA
rnacentral:rRNA from 1 species